CGGGAGGCAGCAGUGGGGAAUUUUGGACAAUGGGCGCAAGCCUGAUCCAGCAAUGCCGCGUGUGUGAAGAAGGCCUUCGGGUUGUAAAGCACUUUUGUCCGGAAAGAAAACCUCGUGGUUAAUACCCGUGGGGGAUGACGGUACCGGAAGAAUAAGCACCGGCUAACUACGUGCCAGCAGCCGCGGUAAUACGUAGGGUGCAAGCGUUAAUCGGAAUUACUGGGCGUAAAGCGUGCGCAGGCGGUUCGCUAAGACAGAUGUGAAAUCCCCGGGCUUAACCUGGGAACUGCAUUUGUGACUGGCGGGCUAGAGUAUGGCAGAGGGGGGUAGAAUUCCACGUGUAGCAGUGAAAUGCGUAGAGAUGUGGAGGAAUACCGAUGGCGAAGGCAGCCCCCUGGGCCAAUACUGACGCUCAUGCACGAAAGCGUGGGGAGCAAACAGGAUUAGAUACCCUGGUAGUCCACGCCCUAAACGAUGUCAACUAGUUGUCGGGUCUUCAUUGACUUGGUAACGUAGCUAACGCGUGAAGUUGACCGCCUGGGGAGUACGGUCGCAAGAUUAAAACUCAAAGGAAUUGACGGGGACCCGCACAAGCGGUGGAUGAUGUGGAUUAAUUCGAUGCAACGCGAAAAACCUUACCUACCCUUGACAUGUAUGGAACCCUGCUGAGAGGUGGGGGUGCCCGAAAGGGAGCCAUAACACAGGUGCUGCA
rnacentral:rRNA from 1 species